AUGAGAAACACCAUCAAACAAGAUGCUGAAUGGUGGAAGAAAGCAAAGAUAGACAUCCCUGGCUGUGGCAAGUUCCGAAAGCGUGGACUUCAAAAUGAGAAUAACUUAUCUAUCAUGUUUGCUGACAUCACGAGUGAUGGUACAGAUCACUGGAAUCCUGCUUCAGGCACCAUUCCCCAAUCUAGCAGUGCAACUUCUAUUUUCAAUGUGGACGACAUACAAGAUGUUGAUCUGGAGGAGACCCAAACAGGUGAGUCACAUGCUGAUGGAAAAGGGAAGAGACUUGGGAGGUAUGUGGAUGGCAAUAACAAGAAGCCAAAGACAUCUCUUGUUAUACAAGAACAGAUAACCAGGGUUGGAGAUAUAGCAGAGAGGACCCAAUCCAGCUUUGAGUCAUACAUGAAGAAAGAAGAGAGUUCAUCGAUUACUUCUGUGAUGGAUCUGGUUGUUGAGUGCGGUGCAAUAGUAGGAAGUGAUGAAUAUUUCAUUGCUAGUGAACUAUUUGUGAAGCGAGAGCAGAGAGAGAUGUUCCUGCAUAUGACGGAAAGUGCUGCUCGUUUAGAUUGGUUGCGUAGGAAAUACAACACCAAGUAUGGGCAUUAG
rnacentral:rRNA from 1 species